rnacentral:rRNA from 1 species
GACGAACGCUGGCGGCGUGCUUAACACAUGCAAGUCGAACGGAAAGGCCCUGCUUUUGUGGGGUGCUCGAGUGGCGAACGGGUGAGUAACACGUGAGUAACCUGCCCUUGACUUUGGGAUAACUUCAGGAAACUGGGGCUCAUACCGGAUAGGAGCUCCUGCUGCAUGGUGGGGGUUGGAAAGUUUCGGCGGUUGGGGAUGGACUCGCGGCUUAUCAGCUUGUUGGUGGGGUAGUGGCUUACCAAGGCUUUGACGGGUAGCCGGCCCGGGAGGGUGACCGGCCACAUUGGGAUUGAGAUACGGCCCAGACUCCUACGGGAGGCAACGGUGGGGAGUAUUGCACAAUGGGCGGAAGCCUGAUGCAGCAACGCCGCGUGGGGGAUGACGGCCUUGGGGUUGUAAUCCGCUUUCGCCUGUGACGGAGCGUGAGUGACGGUAAUGGGUAAAUAAGCACCGGCUAACUACGUG